UACGUAGGGUGCAAGCGUUGUCCGGAAUUAUUGGGCGUAAAGAGCUCGUAGGCGGUCUGUCGCGUCUGCUGUGAAAUCCCGGGGCUCAACCCCGGGCUUGCAGUGGAUACGGGCAGGCUAGAGUUCGGUAGGGGAGAUCGGAAUUCCUGGUGUAGCGGUGAAAUGCGCAGAUAUCAGGAGGAACACCGGUGGCGAAGGCGGAUCUCUGGGCCGAUACUGACGCUGAGGAGCGAAAGCGUGGGGAGCGAACAGG
rnacentral:rRNA from 1 species